rnacentral:tRNA from 1 species
GCCUGGGUGGCUCAGUCGGUUAAGCAUCUGACUUCGGCUCAGGUCAUGAUCUCGCAGUUUGUGGGUUCGAGCCCCGCAUCGGGCU